UUGACAACUCCUCCGCCAGUGAAGCCUCUACCGUUGACUUAACGAAAGAAAACUUCAUAGUAGCUCGACAAGUUUUCUUUCGAGAGUAUUGGACAAAACGCUACUUUUUGUGUUAUGUAACGGUACAUUUUAUCUUUCGACGUGACCGGGUGACACAGCUAGUUUGGGCCUGUCCAGUUAACGUUGGGCUAGUUGGGAGGUAACGUCGUUAACGUUAACGUUACACCAAACUGUACAAUGCAUACCGCCGGUAUGCUAGCGUCAAACGGAUCAAUAAUGGACUUGGACUCGGAGUUGGUGAAAAUAAAAGCACACUACCGUGGGGACAUGUUAAUCGCAGACUUGGCAGCCACGGUAAACUUUGUGGAGUUGCGUGAGGAGGUGAGAAAGAUGUGCAGCGUUGCCAAGCAGCAGCCCAUCACGCUCAAAUGGAUCGAUGAUGAAGGGGACCCUUGUACCAUCUCGUCCCAGAUGGAGCUGGAGGAGGCUUUUCGUAUUUACAGUCGGACCAAGAGGUCUGGACUACUGCUGCAUGUCUUCCCCAGUAUCCCGGAGCGGCCUGGCAUGCCCUGCCCUGGAGAGGACAAAUCGAUCUAUCGCCGCGGGGCCAGAAGAUGGAGGAAACUCUACCGAGUCAACGGACACCUCUUCCAGGCCAAGCGCUUUAACAGGAAAGCCUACUGUGGCCACUGUAGUGAAAGGAUAUGGGGGCUGGGCAGGCAGGGCUACAAGUGUAUCAACUGCAAACUGCUGGUCCAUAAGCGCUGUCACAGACUCAUCCCUCAGACCUGCCAAAGGCUUAUGGAUCCAGUCAUGCCAUCACAGGAGCCCCCUUCAGAUGCCAAGAAUGAAGAAGUGGACCUUCCACCAGAUGACACAGAGGACACCGACGGAAUACCUUUUUUACCACACAACUGUUCCUUGGAUAAAACAGAAGACGCAGAGACAGAGGACAUUAAAGCAGUAGUGGAUGGCAUCGACGGCAUUAAGCUGUCCCAGGACCUGGCUCUGGGCCUGGGGGACUUUGACCUGAUCCGAGUGAUCGGGCGCGGCAGCUACGCCAAGGUGCUGCUGGUUCGGCUAAAGAAGAACAAGCAGGUGUACGCCAUGAAGGUGGUGAAGAAGGAGUUGGUCCAUGACGAUGAGGAUAUCGACUGGGUGCAGACAGAGAAGCAUGUGUUUGAGCAGGCGUCCACCAAUCCAUUCUUAGUAGGCCUCCACUCCUGUUUCCAGACAGAAAGUCGGUUAUUUCUGGUGAUUGAAUAUGUUAACGGCGGGGACUUGAUGUUUCAUAUGCAACGACAAAGGAAGCUCCCUGAAGAACAUGCAAGAUUUUAUGCUGCUGAAAUCUGUAUCGCUCUGAACUUCCUGCAUGAAAAGGGCAUCAUCUACCGAGAUCUGAAGCUGGACAACGUUCUCCUGGAUCACGAGGGACACAUCAAGCUCACAGACUAUGGCAUGUGCAAGGAGGGGAUCAGACCAGGUGACACCACGAGUACCUUCUGUGGAACACCCAACUACAUUGCACCUGAGAUCCUCCGAGGAGAGGACUACGGCUUCAGUGUGGACUGGUGGGCUCUGGGCGUGCUGAUGUUUGAGAUGAUGGCUGGGCGGUCACCGUUUGACAUUAUCACCGACAAUCCUGACAUGAACACAGAGGAGUACCUUUUUCAAGUUAUUCUUGAGAAGCCCAUUCGCAUCCCAAGGUCCCUGUCAGUGAAAGCUGCCAGCGUGCUCAAAGGCUUUCUAAACAAGGAUCCCAAGGAGCGGCUGGGUUGCCAGGUCCAGACGGGCUUCACAGAUAUCAAGGCACACACAUUUUUCCGCAAUAUAGACUGGGACCAGGUAAGAGCAGACUGGACAAGAAAGAGAUGACGCCACCCUUCAAACCUCAAAUCACUGAUGACUACGGCCUCGAAAACUUUGACACGCAGUUUACUAAUGAACCAGUGCAGCUAACACCAGAUGAUGAGGACGUCAUCAAGAGAAUAGACCAGUCAGAGUUCGAGGGAUUUGAAUACAUCAACCCCCUGCUGCUAUCCACUGAGGAGUCUGUAUGAAGGGGAGACCAGCUUCCUCCUUUCGCCCACCUACUGUCUGUCCAAGCUGCCGUCUCAGCCAAAAAAACACUCGCAGGCCAACUCUGAAAGGCGAGGAGGGGGAAGAGUAAAGGGAGGACCAACUCACCCUCUGGACCUUUUUCAACACGGCAAAGCAAACUGGAGAACGGGAACGUUUCCUGCCUGGACCAUUCAGAUAGUUAUGUUGGAAUACCAAACUCUUCUUUUCUUGGCAUCUACAAGGAAAACAAAGACACUGGACUUCAAUAACAUUCCCUGACGUUAUGUUGCCUUCCCCUUUUCUUUUUCCCCCUCCUUCGGCUUCAUUCCUGUCCAUCCUCGUGUCAAAGCACGGCUGGCUUUGUGAUUUGAACAGAGAGCGGUUUCAUUCUGUGCCUGCCAUCACGAACGCAUUUCAACCCGUCUCACAUCCCUGGAUAAAUAUGACAGUUCUGCUGAAGAACUUGAAAUUUUAGAUGCACUUUUUUUUUUUGUUAAUUUUUUUUCUAUAUUUGGCGAGGAGGGGGGGGGCAAGCCUCACACAAAACAAGAAUGUACAAUGAGAAAGAAAACAUAAGUUAUUAUUGUGUAUUAUAGUGUAGGUAGUGAAUCCAUAAUUGAGGAUGCCUUUUCAUUGAUGCAAGUGGCACAUUUUCAUCGCAACCACAAACGUUUCUUUUUAUCUUUUAGGAUUUUCACGAACAACGAGGGUGGGGGGGUGGGGGACGCUUACUGGGAGACGACUUUUUAUUUAAGAAGUGCCUCAAAGAUCGUAUUAAUUACCAUGUCUCUGAUUGCACCUAUCUUUUAUCGAAACAUUUCUUCACCCAUCCCUGGCUUCAGUCGUAAAGACCAACUGAAUCCACGGCUAGACUCUUAACAGCGUUGGUCCAGACCGUUCACAUUUUUUGUGGACCCAAUAUUUUUGGAGCACGGUAGCCUGCCUCAGUCCUGACACUUGACUGAAUCUUUUUAUUUUUAAUGAAUCAAUUCAAAUAAUCAGUGUACAACAGAUCAUUUAUGACUUGUCUGUAGAUUCACAGGAGAAGCUUCCAAGCCAACAUCUGAUAACUGGUGGCAGGUAGAGACUAAAUGACCCCAAUGAUCAUUUAGAAAUGUCACCGAUGGGUGUCGUGCAGCAGGCAGCAUCCAUACAGUCCUGAGUAGGGUUGGGCAUUGUUUAGAUUUUAACCAUUCUUAUUCCAAGUCCGACUUUUCCUUUCGAUUCCGGUUCUUAUCGAUUCCGAUUCUUUAAGGGGUGGAGUUGAAAAGGGUCACAUGCUUAUUUCACAGAUGAGAGGAAAGUUUUAUCCUUAGAGCGCCGCUUACUGUGCUUCAUGGCUGCAACGCAACAAGUGCCUGGAAGUACGGUGGCCGCUAAGGAAACCAAAACUUACGCAUGUAAAAUUUGGAAUCGAUGAUCGGAUU